UGCUCACUCUUUAGGUCCACACUGCU
rnacentral:piRNA from 1 species